rnacentral:lncRNA from 1 species
CUUCUUCUUCUUUAAGCAUGUCUAGUUGUUUAUUUCAGUUUUGCAAAGAUGAGGACUCAAGACAGAGUAGGGGAAAGCUCAUCUAGAGGAGCAGAUGGUUAGUCGAGAGGUUUUGUUCUCUUCGUUACCAUCAAUUUCAAUCCUUCUGUGGUGUGUAUCCUAUAGUCACUUUCACCUGUCCAUCCACAAAACAAAUAAAGAACUAUCCGUUAAUGAUUUUUUUUGGUUUGCAUGUGAAGACUUAUCUUAAUUCACUUUUGAAAUCAUUGAUCUGUAUUGAGAGAAAAUAGGAAUGGUGGUAGCUGAUAAGACUAUACCGGAGGGAGCUCCUGGUGCAGUCUGAAAGUUAAAUCUUCGAAUAAGCAUUGCAAUUGCCACCACCACAUUCUACAAAACAGAGAUUUAUGUUACUAUAAGACAUCUGAAGCAGGUACUCUCAUAUGUAACAAGUAUUGAUUGGUGUCAAUUGUGUCUUUACCUCAAAAGAAGCAAACGUGUCGCCUAUGCAUUUCCCCGGCCCUCCACCAAACGGCAAGUAACUGGAAAAGCAAAGUUUACCGAUAUAAUCAUCUCUAAUGAAUCUGAGAAGUUGUAAGCAAAAGAUGGGCUUAUUAGAAACAUUUAGAAAGAGAACUAAAUGUUUGUAACUAUAUAAUUUUAAGUUUGUCUAAUAUAGAAAACAUAUUGCCAAAAAGGGAUUAGGUUUAGGUUUGCGCGGAAAAUCAAUUAGAACGACACAUUUGAUAAAUUUCAGAUCACAAUUCCAUUUAGAAUGCCACAUUUGGUGAAUUAAAACACUGCAUUUGAUAUUUAUUUUAAAAUAUUUUGCAUUCUAGAAAGCAUAUACAGUGAAACCUCUAUAAAUUAAUAAUGUUACUACACCAAAACUAUAUUUUUUAUAUUAAUUUAUAGAAAUGUUAAUUUAUCGAUAUACUAAUUGAACCAAAAACUCAAUUUGGGACUAUAAAAUUAUAUUAUUUUAAGAAAUUUUUAGUGUAUAUUAAUUUAUAAAGUAUUAAUUUAAAGAGGUUAUACUGUAUAUUGUAACCUAAUAAUGGAUAUUGCAGUAUCUUUGACAAUAAUGAUGAAAUACACAAUAAAAUUUUAUGAUAUAUUGUUUGCCUAUAAGGUAACAUGUUCACUACUAUUAAUUUUGAAUCAUAACUAACCAUAAGCAUUCGUUGUCAAAAAAAAAACUAACCAUAAGUAUUCUUUAUAGUUAGUAGCUAACCAUUUUUCAAUGUUAGUCAACAAAGAUAAUACGUGAGAAAUCAAUUUUCAAAUACAAAAUAAAUACAAUUACAUUAGUCAUUUAUAAUAACAUUUUCAUAUAACAAACAUAUAUGCAUUGACCCAUUAUAUAAUAUACAUAUAGUUGUGUUUAAUAUAUUAAAACUAAAGAUGACAAAAAUAUAAAACUAAUAUCUUAUAUAUAUCAUUAUAAUUAUAAUUAUGAUCUAUGAUAAAACCUGUGUAAGUAUGUUAGCCACAUAUUAUAUGUUUAGUAUAUAUACCAAUUUUGAUUAUAUAUUUACUAUUCUUUCCAUAGUUUUAGUAUUAAUAUAAGAUAGGAUCGAAUAUAACAAUUUUUUUUUGAGAAAUUCGAAUAUAACAAAUUGUUUACUACAUACUACAUUAUCUAUUGAUAAAUACAAAUGUAUAUGUUUGCGUUAACAAAUGAUUUUAUAAUUAAUAUAAUAUAUUUUGUAAAGUAGUAUAUCAAAAGGAUGUGACAUACGUUAGAUAGUGGUUUUAAUUUUUAUUUGCUUGAACUUUUUUAAACCAACAAAAUUAACUAAUACUCUUUAAAAUAUUUAUAACGUUGUAUAUGUUAAAAAUUCGCCAUUAAACUUUUCUAGGGGAAUUAAAAUUAGAUUAAGGCCUGUCCAAAGUCUUUCUAAGGAUGUCACAUCAGCAAUGAAAAGAUGUUUGGAGAUGAUAUCUAAGCAAGUUCAUUUUGCAAUUAAUACAAAAUUGAAGUUACAACAUUUUAAAAGAUCUUACAAAUAAUAUACAGAGGAUUUUAUAUGACUAUUAUUUUAACAUUUUAAUAAUAUAAAUUAGAUUUUGAUCCGCACAUGUUUGUUUUGAAAAUUAAAUAAAUGUUUAUGAAAUGAAUUUAUAUAUAACAUAUUGUAUAGGUUUAGGCACAUUUAUCUGAAACUAAGAACUGAACUGUACCGAACUGAAACAAUCAAAAACAAAAUUAAAUUAAAUUUCAUAAAUAAUCGAACAAAUCAUAUAUCUAAGGAACCGAAAAAUUAAAGCUGAACUGAGAACCAAAUGGAUACCUAAAAUUUAAAAAUACAAAGUAUAUACUUACAAAUAUUCAUUAUAUUUAAUUUUAAAAUAACUAAAUAUCAUAAAAAAAUACUAUUUAUGAACCGAAUUACCGGAAAAAAUAAAAUUACCCAAAUAUUGUUUAUUCAAAAUAUUAAAAUUAUCCGAACUGUCCAAUAUUUUUGUCCAAACAAUCCACCCUAUAUCUAAAUUAAAAAAGCCAAAUUGUCCGAUAUUUUUAUCUAUAAAUCUUUAAUUACCUGUAAAUCGAUGGGUGAUCCGAUAUGCAAUUCAAAUCGAAUUAAGUUGUUAUAUUUAGAUUAUUCUAAUAUAUAUUCAUAGAUUUUUAGAUGAGUAGUGGAGAUAUUUUGGACGUGAUGCUCCAAUUUUUCAAAAGUUAACUAUACAAAUUUUUAAUAAAACUAUUUUUUCAUCUAGUUGUAAGAGUAGUGAAUCAAUAUUCGAAAGGAUGCAUACUAAAAGAAAAAUAGAUUUGAGCAUCAAUUAUUCAUAUAUGUCUAUUACAAUUUACAUUUGCAAAAAAAAAUAUAAUUGUUUGUUUAUUUGUUUAGUUUGUUUUUGUUGUUGACAUGUUAUUAGAAUCCUUUUGAUGUUUUGUUUUUGGUUUAUUUUAAAUUUAAUUUUAUCAUUCACAUUAAACAUUUAAAUAUUUUUAAUUUUAGUUUUCUUAUAUUAUUUUAUUAUAUAUCUACUUCAUAAUUUGUUACAAUUUGGUAUGUAUAAUUGUAUUCUAAAACUAAUUAAAAUAUUGAUCCGCGGUCGAUUCAGUGAUCCAAUAAUUCAUAAAAUAAUCUGGUUCAGUGUCUUGAUAGGGCUUCACUGGUUUUAGAUCAAAGCCAUCAGAGCUUCUCCAUGCAAUCGGUAUGAAAGUAUAUGAUACACUCUUGCGUGAAAUCAAGCUGAAUCCCAUCUUUACAUUUAAGAAAACAAUUAGGUGGACGAUGGCAGCACACAUGUGCACGCAGUAAUAUAAUUUUUAGUUUUGAUGAUUAUAACAUUUGUGGUUCAACAUUUUUGAUUCUUUCUAAACAUUAUUUAUUUUUCAACCAUUAUAGAUUGAUGUUUAAAUUUAUAUCUUAUAUAGGUAUGCAAUAAUAAUUCAAGCAUAUGUAGUAUCCAGAAAUUGAUAAACUUUAUAUGAAAAUACAACAUUUGAAGUCCGGUUUACAAGUAUUGAUUUCGUAAGGUAACAAGAAAAAACUAGGAAAAACCAAAAAAAUAUUCGGGUAGAAGAAGUUUGCAUUCAUAUACCGAGAAUGGUUCGGAUCUGAUCCGGUGGAUGUCGAGCGAGGGAUUUCGGAUCUGGAUACCCGUUUUGUUGAUCCGUUACGGCUCGGUAUAUAACUUCAUAAUCUUCAGCUAACGUUUUGGCCACCCGCACGCAAGCUUCGGACCUGAGUUUAGGGACUUGUAUCUGCUCGAACUCAGGAAGAGAGCCUUCGCUUCCCAAAACGAGGCCGAAGAAGGCCUUGAGGCAUUCCGACAGCACUGCGGGUGACGUCUCCUGUCGUCCAGACAAAGCAACUUCGGUUGUGGUGUAAGAGCGGAAGAUUUGCAUUUUGUCUGAAAGACCGCAUCUUUGGAGGAGCGUGUCGACUUCUUUCUGGACCAGGAGGUUUAUGUGGUUCUCGAUCAUUGAUCCGAUGUUAGUUACGUACUGUGACGCCACAUCGUGUCUUAGCAACGGUUGUUGGAUGGCGCAUAAACAGUUGAUGAGGAAUAUCUUCGAGGGUGUUUCAUUGUUCUGUAAGAACGAGAUAAAUCUUGAGAGAGGUCUUUUCGAGUUAAAAGGAAUGUAACGGAUUAUAUAUAUACCUGUGGUGGGGACGAGCUGCUAGAGAGUAGAGCAUCUACUGAUGUUAACUGGCUUGAGUCGGAACUUGUUCGGCUUCGUCUGGUUAAUUGGCCGCUCAUUUUCGAUUUGUGCGCCUCUGCUGCUUGCUCACACAUCUGUGGAGUUUCAGAAAAGUUCAAGAAUUUAACUUCAAAGCAGAAUCAUGGCUUUUGAUGGACAAUGAUUUAUACCUUAAUGAUAGGGUCGAGCAGUGCAGAGAGGACAGGAUCAAAUGCCGGUUUCUCUCCUGAAGCGGAAACCAUCAUGCUGUUGUAGUUCUCGAUUAUCUCAAGAGUUAGAGAAACUCCUUCUCGGACAGCUGGAGGCGGAGAGAGAUCAAUCGCUACCGGUGGAGGGUAUCGUAGAAGCUUCUCCCCUCGGGUUUUAAGAAUGUCGAAGAAGGUUUUCUGUGCAGCAUCCUUAACCAUCCCAAUUGUAUUACAGAGAGCAGUGUCUCGGCCGAGUAAGUCUGAGAUCUGCAAGGUGAAGGGAACAACGCGAACUUUAGACUGCAUGAAAUAGAUAGUUAACUCCAUUCUUUGGUUACUAGAAGGCUUUGACACUUGAUAUGCUUUGCAAGUUACAUUUAUUCCAUUAAAUGGGUAUUACUAUAACUAAUUUAACGACUAUGAUUCUUGCCUCUUAGGUGUACUUAUUCUUUUAGUGCUAAGUGCUAACUAACUUUUUUUCUUUUGUAUUGUAUCAGGUUGACCUGCGAAGAGCAAAUAACUGUGAAAUAAUGCUUACGAAAAUAAAGAUUCCUCUACCAGAUAUGCUUGUAAGUUUUUGCUGUCAGUAUAUCCUCCGCUCAUUAUUUUAGCAUUGGAACAAUAAUGUAAGGUGGAUGUUUAGAGUUAACAUGUCUUUUUGUAACAUUUUACCUAGUUGAAUCUCUUUUAUAUCAUGUUUACGUGUAUACUAACCGAGAAUUUCAUAUCUAUUUCUUAUCUUAGAGCGCAGUUCUAGCCUUAGAUUCGUCAGUUCUGGACAUCGACCAGGUUGAAAAUCUCAUCAAAUUUUGUCCGACGAAGGAAGAAAUGGAAUUGUUGAGGGUAAAUCUUAAAGUUUAUUGUCAUACUUCUCUGUAGAGUACCAGGUUCAUAGGUUCUGUUUGGCUUCAAAACGCAAGUUUCUUUCAGCAAUUCCUUAAUGCCUAAAGUUAACUUGUUCUGUUUUUGUCUUCAGAAUUAUACCGGUGACAAAGAAAUGCUUGGAAAGUGUGAACAGGUUUGUUCCAGUUCUUGGAGCGUUGGAUGGUUACAUGUUUAUAAUCUGUGUUCUGACUCUUAACUUUGCAAAAUGUAUCAGUUUUUCAUGGAACUAAUGAAGGUUCCACGUAUAGAAGCAAAGUUACGAGUGUUUGGCUUUAAGAUUACCUUUGCUUCUCAGGUAUAACUAUUAAAACUUUCUGCAUUUGGUCUCUCCUGUCUUAGGCAUGUUGUGGUGAUCUUAUUUUUUUGCUCUUUUCAGGCGGAAGACUUAAAAAGCUGCCUGAAUACAAUAAACGAUGCUACUAAAGAGGUAUAGUGGAGAGUGAGAGCUUCUAAGUCAUGGAAAUAUAUCCCCAUCUUGAUAAUUAAGUAUUAUUAUUAUCAUGCAACAGGUGAAGGAGUCUGCAAAGUUGCGUCAGAUUAUGCAAACAAUUUUAACACUAGGAAAUGCUCUGAAUCAGGGAACUGCAAGAGGUUUUACCUUUAUAUUCCUAUUGAUUUCAAGUUUUUUUUAAAUGAUUUUUCUUGUAGCAUCUGUUGGUAAUGUAGUGUGCCUUUUGUGUUGCAGGGUCUGCUGUGGGUUUCAAACUGGAUAGUCUUCUUAAAUUAUCUGAUACUCGUGCAAGAAAUAACAAAAUGACUUUGAUGCAUUACUUAUGCAAGGUAGAAGCACAUACCUUUCUUAUCUCAAUAAUACUUUUUAUUCAGUUAGUUUUUUUUUUAAAGAUGAACUUAGGUAAAUUUUCUUUUUUACUGUUUAGCUUGUUGGUGAAAAAAUGCCAGAGUUGCUGGAUUUUCCCAGUGACCUUGCUCACUUGGAAGCUGCAUCGAAGGUACCCUUGUUAUUCAUGCUUGCAUAUGAGCUUUCCGUCUUCAUAAUGCACUUGCCUUAAUAGUUUCUAAAAAUUGCAGAUUGAUUUCAAAACGUUGGCUGAAGAAAUGCAGGCGGCAGCUAAAGGCCUUGAAAAGGUUGAUCACGAACUCAUGGCUUCAGGAAACGAUGGUGCAAUAUCUCUGGGCUUCCGAAAGGUGAGCUACAUGUUAAAAGUUGUUCUUAGUGUUGCUCAUAUGGGUUUCUUGGUUAAUUCAUAGGCUGUGAUAAGAACCAGAAGGUAUUCGUAGCUUCUAAAUGAGAUCACUUCAUGUUUUCAGGUUUUGAAGGAGUUUCUUGCUACCGCUGAAGCAGAAGUGAGGUUGCUUGCUUCCUUAUAUACAGAAUCGGUGAGUUACUUGUACUCUUUGAGGACAUGCAGUUCGAAACUCAUGUUCCAGUCCUAAUAUUGAUUUGUUAUUUUGCAGGGAAGAAAUGCAGAUUCCUUGUGCCACUACUUUGGUGAGGAUCCAAAUAGAUGUCCUUUCGAACAAGGUACAUGCACCAAGUCUAUUCUUAUAGAUUGGUUAAAGCCAUUAUGUGUUAAAUGCAACUACUCAUUUCUAUUCUGACCAUUGUUCCUAUCUGCAGUGACCAAGAUUCUGGCUCUUUUCAUGAAAACUUUCAUCAAAUCACGAGAGGAGAAUGAGAAACAAGCGGAGGCUGACAAGAAGAAGCUGGAGAAAGAUACAAUGAAGGAGAAGCCAAUGUUAAAGAAAGACGGUGCUGAUCCAUAGACAUAGAACGUGAACAGAGGUCGGUCUUUAAAGAAAGACCGGAGUGUUUCAGAUCGAUGAAAGCUUUGUUUUAUAGUACACAAUGUUGCACAUAACAAUCAAGAAGCAGAGAUCUUUCGUAGAUCGUAGAAAAAGUAGACAGCUUCUAUGAUGUUUAUAUGGAAGUGUAAACUCUCUUUGAUCAUCACUUCGUUGAUGUAAAAUCAGAGGUUCUUGUCAAUGUUGUAGAAGAUAUUUGAAUUUUUAUAGAACCCACUCAAAGUUAUUAUCUUUAACUGUGCAGAUAAAAACAAUUUCUGUUCAGAGAGUAAUAAAUUUUUACAUUCUACUUGUCUGCAUAAACAUAAUGCAGAGAAAUAAUCAGAAGCAGUGACCUUGUUCCAACAAAUUCUACAUCAUUUGUUCUAACACAAGAUUUUUGCUUCUUCUUCUUUAAGCAUGUCUAGUUGUUUAUUUCAGUUUUGCAAAGAUGAGGACUCAAGACAGAGUAGGGGAAAGCUCAUCUAGAGGAGCAGAUGGUUAGUCGAGAGGUUUUGUUCUCUUCGUUACCAUCAAUUUCAAUCCUUCUGUGUUGUGUAUCCUAUUAGUCAUUUUCACCUGUCCAUCCACAAAACAAAUAAAGAACUAUUCGUUGAUGAUUUUUUUGGUUUGCAUGUGAAGUCUUAUCUUAAUUCAGUUUUGAAAUCAUUGAUCUGUAUUGAGAGAAAAUAGGAAUGGUGGUAGCUGAUAAGACUACCGA